rnacentral:rRNA from 1 species
GCGGCGGACGGGUGAGUAAUGCCUAGGAAUCUGCCUAGUAGUGGGGGAUAACUUGCCGAAAGGUAAGCUAAUACCGCAUACGUCCUACGGGAGAAAGCAGGGGACUCUUCGGAGCCUUGCGCUAUUAGAUGAGCCUAGGUCGGAUUAGUUAGUUGGUGAGGUAAUGGCUCACCAAGACUGCGAUCCGUAACUGGUCUGAGAGGAUGAUCAGUCACACUGGAACUGAGACACGGUCCAGACUCCUACGGGAGGCAGCAGUGGGGAAUAUUGGACAAUGGGGGAAACCCUGAUCCAGCCAUGCCGCGUGUGUGAAGAAGGUCUUAGGAUUGUAAAGCACUUUAAGUUGGGAGGAAGGGCAGUUAACUAAUACUUGACUGUUUUGACGUUACCGACAGAAUAAGCACCGGCUAACUUCGUGCCAGCAGCCGCGGUAAUACGAAGGGUGCAAGCGUUAAUCGGAAUUACUGGGCGUAAAGCGCGCGUAGGUGGUUCGUUAAGUUUAGGAGUGAAAGCCCCGG